UCCUGUUCUCAGGGCGGGGUGAAAUUCCCCACCGGCGGUGAUAGCCCGCGAGCGCGCAAAACCCCGGCAAAAGGGGCACUGCGGUCAGCAGAUUUCGGUGGAAUUCCGAAGCCGACGGUUACAGUCCGGAUGGGAGAGGAUGAAC
rnacentral:ncRNA from 1 species